rnacentral:rRNA from 1 species
GAUGAACGCUGGCGGCGUGCCUAAUACAUGCAAGUCGAGCGAAUGGAUUAAGAGCUUGCUCUUAUGAAGUUAGCGGCGGACGGGUGAGUAACACGUGGGUAACCUGCCCAUAAGACUGGGAUAACUCCGGGAAACCGGGGCUAAUACCGGAUAACAUUUUGAACCGCAUGUGUCGAAAUUGAAAGGCGGCUUCGGCUGUCACUUAUGGAUGGACCCGCGUCGCAUUAGCUAGUUGGUGAGGUAACGGCUCACCAAGGCAACGAUGCGUAGCCGACCUGAGAGGGUGAUCGGCCACACUGGGACUGAGACACGGCCCAGACUCCUACGGGAGGCAGCAGUAGGGAAUCUUCCGCAAUGGACGAAAGUCUGACGGAGCAACGCCGCGUGAGUGAUGAAGGCUUUCGGGUCGUAAAACUCUGUUGUUAGGGAAGAACAAGUGCUAGUUGAAUAAGCUGGCACCUUGACGGUACCUAACCAGAAAGCCACGGCUAACUACGUGCCAGCCGCCGCUGUAA